AUCAAAGUAGUUUAGAAAAAUAUCAGACUGUGGCACUGAAGACGCUAGUUAAACCCUAGCCUUAGAUC
rnacentral:tRNA from 1 species